GGCUUGUGGCUCAGUGGUACAGUGCUCACCUAGCACAUGUGAAAUGCUGGGUUCGAUCCUCAGCACCA
rnacentral:tRNA from 1 species